AUUGAACGCUGGCGGCAUGCUUUACACAUGCAAGUCGAGCGGCAGCGCGGGGGCAACCCUGGCGGCGAGCGGCGAACGGGUGAGUAAUGCAUCGGAACGUAUCCUCGAGUGGGGGAUAACCCAGCGAAAGUUGGGCUAAUACCGCAUGAGCUCUGAGGAGGAAAGCGGGGGACCUGCGAGGGCCUCGCGCUGGAGGAGCGGCCGAUGUCCGAUUAGCUAGUUGGUGGGGUAAAGGCUUACCAAGGCGACGAUCGGUAGCUGGUCUGAGAGGAUGAUCAGCCACACUGGGACUGAGACACGGCCCAGACUCCUACGGGAGGCAGCAGUGGGGAAUUUUGGACAAUGGGGGCAACCCUGAUCCAGCCAUGCCGCGUGAGUGAAGAAGGCCUUCGGGUUGUAAAGCUCUUUCGGACGGAACGAAAUGGGCGGGACUAAUACUCCUGUAUGAUGACGGUACCGUAAGAAGAAGCACCGGCUAACUACGUG
rnacentral:rRNA from 1 species